CCCUUAGAUGUUCGGGGCCGCACGCGCGCUACACUGAAGGAAUCAGCACGUCUUUCUCCUUGUCCGAAAGGACUGGGUAACCCGCUGAACCUCCUUCGUGCUAGGGAUUGGGGCUUGUAAUUCUUCCCCAUGAACGAGGAAUUCCCAGUAAGCGCGAGUCAUAAGCUCGCGUUGAUUACGUCCCUGCCCUUUGUACACACCGCCCGUCGCUACUACCGAUUGGAUGGUUUAGUGAGAUCCUCGGAUUGGUCCCGGCGCGGCCUCUGGUCGUGCCGGAGUGCCGAAAGGAAUGUCGAACUUGAUCAUCUAGAGGAAGUAAAAGUCGUAACA
rnacentral:rRNA from 1 species